GAUGAAGAACGCAGCGAAAUGCGAUAAGUAAUGUGAAUUGCAGAAUUCAGUGAAUCAUCGAAUCUUUGAACGCACAUUGCGCCCCCUGGUAUUCCGGGGGGCAUGCCUGUUCGAGCGUCAUUUCACCACUCAAGCCUCGCUUGGUAUUGGGCAACGCGGUCCGCCGCGUGCCUCAAAUCGACCGGCUGGGUCUUCUGUCCCCUAAGCGUUGUGGAAACUAUUCGCUAAAGGGUGUUCGGGAGGCUACGCCGUAAAACAACCCCAUUUCUAAGGUUGACCUCGGAUAAGGUAGGGAUACCCGCUGAACUUAAGCAUAUCAAUAAGCGGAGGA
rnacentral:misc_RNA from 1 species